rnacentral:rRNA from 1 species
GAUGAACGCUGGCGGCGUGCCUAAUACAUGCAAGUCGAGCGAACGGACGAGAAGUUUGCUUCUCUGAUGUUAGCGGCGGACGGGUGAGUAACACGUGGAUAACCUACCUAUAAGACUGGUAUAACUUCGGGAAACCGGAGCUAAUACCGGAUAAUAUUUUGAACCGCAUGGUUCAAAAGUGAAAGACGGUCUUUCUGUCACUUAUAGAUGGAUCCGCGCUGCAUUAGCUAGUUGGUAAGGUAACGGCUUACCAAGGCUACGAUGCAUAGCCGACCUGAGAGGGUGAUCGGCCACACUGGAACUGAGACACGGUCCAGACUCCUACGGGAGGCAGCAAUAGGGAAUCUUACGCAAUGGGCGAGAGCCUGACGGAGCGACGCCGCGUGAGUGAUGAAGGUCUUCGGAUCGUAAAACUCUGUUAUUAGGGGAGAACAUAUGUGUAAGUAACUGUGCACAUCUUGACGGUACCUAGUCAGAAAGCCACGGCUAACUACGUG